GACGAACGCUGGCGGCGUGCUUAACACAUGCAAGUCGAACGGUGAAGCGCCUUCCUUUUUGGUGGGUGUGGAUGAGUGGCGAACGGGUGAGUAACACGUGAGUAACCUGCCCCCUUCUUCUGGAUAACCGCAUGAAAGUGUGGCUAAUACGGGAUAUUCUGGGUCUGUCGCAUGAUGGGUCUGGGAAAGAUAUUGUUUCGGUGGGGGAUGGGCUCGCGGCCUAUCAGCUUGUUGGUGGGGUGAUGGCCUACCAAGGCGGUGACGGGUAGCCGGCCUGGGAGGGUGGACGGUCACACUGGGACUGCGACACGGCCCAGACUCCUACGGGAGGCAGCAGUGGGGAAUAUUGCACAAUGGGCGCAAGCCUGAUGCAGCGACGCCGCGUGAGGGAUGGAGGCCUUCGGGUUGUGAACCUCUUUCGCCAGUGAAGCAGGCCUGCCUCGUUUGUGGGUGGGUUGACGGUAGCUGGAUAAGAAGCGCCGGCUAACUACGUG
rnacentral:rRNA from 1 species